rnacentral:tRNA from 1 species
GGAACUGUGCCCGAAUACUAAGGAAUACUUUGAUAGAGUAAAUAAUGGGGGUUAAAGUCCCCCCAGCUCCU